rnacentral:rRNA from 1 species
UACAGAGGUCUCAAGCGUUGUUCGGAUUCAUUGGGCGUAAAGGGUGUGUAGGUGGCGCCGUAAGUCGGGGUGUGAAAUUUCGGAGCUUAACUCCGAAACUGCAUUCGAUACUGCGGUGCUUGAGGACUGGAGAGGAGACUGGAAUUCAUGGUGUAGCAGUGAAAUGCGUAGAGAUCAUGAGGAAGACCAGUGGCGAAGGCGGGUCUCUGGGCCGAUACUGACGCUGAGGAGCGAAAGCGUGGGGAGCGAACAGG